UACGUAGGCAGCGAGCGUUGUUCGGAGUUACUGGGCGUAAAGGGUGUGUAGGCGGUUCUUUAAGUUUGGUGUGAAAUCUCCCGGCUCAACCGGGAGGGUGCGCCGAAUACUGAGGAACUAGAGUACGGGAGAGGAAAGUGGAAUUCCUGGUGUAGCGGUGAAAUGCGUAGAUAUCAGGAGGAACACCGGUGGUGUAGACGGCUUUCUGGACCGUAACUGACGUUGAGACACGAAAGCGUGGGUAGCAAACAGG
rnacentral:rRNA from 1 species